rnacentral:rRNA from 1 species
CGAAUGGGGAAACCCGGAUGCGGCUGGAUCACCUCCUUUCUAAGGAAGCUGUGGAAUUGGUAAGACGACCUUCCGGCAAGUCUUUGACUUGUCUCGAGGUAUGAACCUUCCCGUGCUUUUUAGAACAUAGAUGGCACCAGUCAGGUGACUAUCGAAACGUAAUACGCCGCGAUGACUUCGGUCACGACGGUAUGGCGAGCUGCGCCGUCCACGCUUCUCUUUCUUCAAGAAGACAAAAAACCGCGUCGACCGGUUCCCCGAAUGGGCCCGUAGCUCAGUUGGUUAGAGCACACGCUUGAUAAGCGUGGGGUCGGAAGUUCAAGUCUUCCCGGGCCCACCAUUUGCACCAGCAAAUGAAAUUUGCUGUAGCGAAUGAGGGUUAGGGAUGAUGGAAUGUUGGUGAUGCGGAUUGUUGCCGAACCUGGGCUUGUCCUGGGUGAUCGAGCUGGAGGGGCUGUAGCUCAGCUGGGAGAGCACCUGCUUUGCAAGCAGGGGGUCAGCGGUUCGAUCCCGCUCAGCUCCACCAAUUCGCUUGGUGUCGAGACUGAGAGAUAUCCUUUGAAGAAAUAAAAGUUUUGCACCGGCUUAUGGCUGGUGCGUGUUCUGCAUACAUUGUGAAGAGAAGAUUGAUCUGGAGGCUUCCAGGUGUUGUGGGUUUUGCCCAUGAUGUCCGAGCCCAGUUCCUGUGAAACCAUGGAUGGCCUAGCCGGCCGGAUGUGGUGGAGGGAUUGGAGGUAGGUAGGAAGCUUGUCGCUCUGGAUCGUCAGCGUAAACCGCGUAGCGGUUUAUCGCGUGUUGUUCGUUGCCUUUGGGCAUCGUCUGACGGACGAUCGGAUUACCGUUGCCUGACCGCGCGGUAUCGGAUCCAAUCUCGAGAAGCUGGUCUUAAGACAGGCUGCAAGCGAGCUGCUCGGCGUAGCUCCAAUAAAGCAGACCUGUCGAACACGUUAAUGGCAUUGUUAGAAAGCGUGAUUGUAAAAGGUAAUCACGCAUGUUUGGCCCGACUGCACGGCAAUCGCAAGGUUGUCCGGAUGGUCGGAUUUGGCACCCCGCGAGGCGAAAGCGAAGCGGACAAGGUCUGCCAAAUCAAACAAAGAUGAUGAGCAUUGGCAAUGAGAACGAUUAAGUGUCGUAAGGGCAUUUGGUGGAUGCCUUGGCGUGCACAGGCGAUGAAGGACGUGAUACGCUGCGAAAAGCCGUGGGGAGCUGCGAAUGAGCUUUGAUCCAUGGAUCUCCGAAUGGGGAAACCCGG